CCUACGGGAGGCAGCAGUGGGGAAUAUUGCGCAAUGGGCGCAAGCCUGACGCAGCGACGCCGCGUGAGGGAUGAAGGUCUUCGGAUCGUAAACCUCUGUCAGCAGGGAAGAACGGUCACUGUGCUAAUCAGCAGUGAAUUGACGGUACCUGCAAAGGAAGCACCGGCUAACUCCGUGCCAGCAGCCGCGGUAAUACGGAGGGUGCGAGCGUUAAUCGGAAUUACUGGGCGUAAAGCGCUCGUAGGCGGUAUGUUAAGUCAAGGGUGAAAUCCCCGCGCUCAACGUGGGAACUGCCUUUGAAACUGGCAGACUGGAGUGUGGGAGAGGAUAGUGGAAUUCCAGGUGUAGGAGUGAAAUCCGUAGAGAUCUGGAGGAACACCAGUGGCGAAGGCGACUAUCUGGCACAUAACUGACGCUGAGGAGCGAAAGCGUGGGUAGCAAACAGGAUUAGAUACCCUUGUAGUC
rnacentral:rRNA from 1 species